rnacentral:rRNA from 1 species
AUUGAACGCUGGCGGCAUGCUUUACACAUGCAAGUCGAACGGCAGCGCGGGCUUCGGCCUGGCGGCGAGUGGCGAACGGGUGAGUAAUACAUCGGAACGUGCCCAGUAGUGGGGGAUAGCUCGGCGAAAGCCGGAUUAAUACCGCAUACGACCUGAGGGUGAAAGCGGGGGAUCUUCGGACCUCGCGCUAUUGGAGCGGCCGAUGGCAGAUUAGCUAGUUGGUGGGGUAAAGGCCUACCAAGGCGACGAUCUGUAGCUGGUCUGAGAGGACGACCAGCCACACUGGAGGUAGGGGCGGGCCCGGGAUCAAAGGGGCGGCACAAGGGGGUAAUUUGGGAAAAGGGGAGAAAGCCUGACCCAGCAAUGCCGCUGGUGUGAUGAAGGCCUCGGGUUUGGAAAGCCUUUUUGGGGGGAAGAAAAAGGGCUGUGCCAACCCCCCGGUUAAGUGGCGUGACCCGGAGAAAAAGCACGGGAAAACUGCGG